GCUGCGGAUGGCCAUGCGGCGCAUUAGCUAGUCGGCGGGGUAACGGCCCACCGAGGCGACGAUGCGUAGGGGUUCUGAGAGGAAGGUCCCCCACACUGGUACUGAGACACGGACCAGACUCCUACGGGAGGCAGCAGUGAGGAAUAUUGGUCAAUGGCCGGGAGGCUGAACCAGCCAAGUCGCGUGAGGGAAGACGGCCCUACGGGUUGUAAACCUCUUUUGUCAGGGAGCAAGGUGCAGGUCGGGACCUGCUGUGAGAGUACCUGAAGAAAAAGCAUCGGCUAACUCCGUGCCAGCAGCCGCGGUAAUACGGAGGAUGCGAGCGUUAUCCGGAUUUAUUGGGUUUAAAGGGUGCGCAGGCGGAGGCACAAGUCAGCGGUAAAAUCGCGGGGCUCAACCCCGCUCCGCCGUUGAAACUGUGUCCCUUGAGUGCGCGAAGGGUAGGCGGAAUGCGUGGUGUAGCGGUGAAAUGCAUAGAUAUCACGCAGAACUCCGAUCGCGAAGGCAGCCUACCGGCGCGCAACUGACGCUCAUGCACGAAAGCGUGGGUAUCGAACAGGAUUAGAUACCCUGGUAGUCCACGCAGUAAACGAUGAAUGCUAUCUGUCCGGCCGGAAUGACGGCUGG
rnacentral:rRNA from 1 species